rnacentral:rRNA from 1 species
UAGGGAAUCUUCGGCAAUGGACGGAAGUCUGACCGAGCAACGCCGCGUGAGUGAAGAAGGUUUUCGGAUCGUAAAGCCCUGUUGUUAGAGAAGAAUGUUGGUAGGAGUGGAAAAUCUACCAAGUGACGGUAACUAACCUGAAAGGGACGGCUAACUACGUGCCUGCAGCCGCGGUAAUACGUUGGUCCCGAGCGCUGUCCGGAUUUAUUGGGCGUAAAGCGAGCGCAGGCGGUUCUUUAAGUCUGAAGUUAAAGGCAGUGGCUUAACCAUUGUACGCUUUGGAAACUGGAGGACUUGAGUGCAGAAGGGGAGAGUGGAAUUCCAUGUGUAGCGGUGAAAUGCGUAGAUAUAUGGGGGAACACAGGUAGCGAAGGCGGCUCUCUGGUAUGUAACUGACGCUGAGGCUCGAAAACGUGGGGAGCAAACAGG